UACGGAGGGGGCUAGCGUUGUUCGGAAUUACUGGGCGUAAAGCGCACGUAGGCGGCUUUGCAAGUCAGAGGUGAAAGCCCGGGGCUCAACCCCGGAAUUGCCUUUAAGACUGCAUCGCUAGAAUUGUGGAGAGGUAAGUGGAAUUCCGAGUGUAGAGGUGAAAUUCGUAGAUAUUCGGAAGAACACCAGUGGCGAAGGCGACUUACUGGACACAUAUUGACGCUGAGGUGCGAAAGCGUGGGGAGCAAACAGG
rnacentral:rRNA from 1 species